rnacentral:tRNA from 1 species
GCCCCCGUUGGCGGAAUUGGUAGACGCGCCUGACUCAAAAUCAGGUUCCGAGAGGAGUGCUGGUUCGAUUCCGGCACGGGGCACCA